CCAAUAGCGUAUAUUAAAGUUGUUGCAGUUAAAAAGCUCGUAGUUGAAUUUCGGGAUCAAGGAAUCGGUCAUGCCUUGGUAUGUACUGGUUUUAUUGGUUCUCACCUUCUAAAGAACCAUAAUGUCAUUCAUUUGAUGUUAUGGGGAAUUAGGACUGUUACCCUGAAAAAAUUAGAGUGUUUAAAGCAGGCUUACGCUUGAAUACAUUAGCAUGGAAUAAUGAAAUAGGACAUCAGAUUCUAUUUUGUUGGUUUCUAGGAUCGAUGUAAUGAUUAAUAGGGAUAGUUGGGGGCAUUAGUAUUCAAUUGUCAGAGGUGAAAUUCUUGGAUUUAUUGAAGACUAACUACUGCGAAAGCAUUUGCCAAGGAUGUUUUCAUUAAUCAAGAACGAAAGUUAGGGGAUCGAAGACGAUCAGAUACCGUCGUAGUCUUAACCAUAAACUAUGCCGACUAGGGAUCGGAUGAUGUUAAUUUUAUAAUGACUCAUUCGGCACCUUACG
rnacentral:rRNA from 1 species